CAGAGAAUAGUUUAUCCUAAAAUAUUAACUUUGGAAGUUAAAGAUGUCUAGUUAUUUUCUUCUCUGA
rnacentral:tRNA from 1 species